rnacentral:rRNA from 1 species
GACGAACGCUGGCGGCGUGCUUAACACAUGCAAGUCGAACGGAAGGGCCCUGCUUUUGUGGGGUGCUCGAGUGGCGAACGGGUGAGUAACACGCGAGUAACCUGCCCUUGACUUUGGGAUAACUUCAGGAAACUGGGGCUAAUAUCGGAUAGGAGCUCCUGCUGCAUGGUGGGGGUUGGAAAGUUUCGGCGGUGGGGGAUGGAAUCGCGGCUUAUGAGCUUGUUUGUGGGGUAGUUGCUUUCCAAGCCUUUGACGGGUAGGCGGCCUGGGAGGGCUACCGGGCACAUUGGGACUAAGAUACGGCGCAGAAUCCUACGGGAGGCAGCAGUGGGGAGUAUUACAGAAUGGGCGGAAGCCUGAUGCAACAACGCCGCGUGCGGGAUGACGGCCUUCGGGUUGUAAACCGCUUUCGCCUGUGACGAAGCGAGAGUGACGGUAAUGAAUAAAGAAGCACCGGCUAACUACGUG